rnacentral:rRNA from 1 species
UGCAGCGACGCCGCGUGAGGGAUGACGGCCUUCGGGUUGUAAACCUCUUUCAGCAGGGAAGAAGCGAGAGUGACGGUACCUGCAGAAGAAGCGCCGGCUAACUACGUGCCAGCAGCCGCGGUAAUACGUAGGGCGCAAGCGUUGUCCGGAAUUAUUGGGCGUAAAGAGCUCGUAGGCGGCUUGUCGCGUCGGAUGUGAAAGCCCGGGGCUUAACCCCGGGUCUGCAUUCGAUACGGGCAGGCUAGAGUUCGGUAGGGGAGAUCGGAAUUCCUGGUGUAGCGGUGAAAUGCGCAGAUAUCAGGAGGAACACCGGUGGCGAAGGCGGAUCUCUGGGCCGAUACUGACGCUGAGGAGCGAAAGCGUGGGGAGCGAACAGGAUUAGAUACCCUGGUAGUCCACGCCGUAAACGUUGGGAACUAGGUGUGGGCGACAUUCCACGUCGUCCGUGCCGCAGCUAACGCAUUAAGUUCCCCGCCUGGGGAGUACGGCCGCAAGGCUAAAACUCAAAGGAAUUGACGGGGGCCCGCACAAGCAGCGGAGCAUGUGGCUUAAUUCGACGCAACGCGAAGAACCUUACCAAGGCUUGACAUACACCGGAAACGUCUGGAGACAGGCGCCCCCUUGUGGUC